ensembl:lncRNA
GGCGGGAGGCUCGGGCGGGCGCCCUGGCGCGGGAGUCGGGUGCAGGCGACCAGGAGGGGUCGGCCGCGGCGUUCGGACCCGGUAACUUACAAGAUUAAAAUUAAAUUUGAUUGACGAUGAUUCUGAACAAAUAUGCUGUUUAUUUGAGGUAUGCCAUUUUGAAGACUGAGACCAUGGAAUUUUGUCCUUGAGGAUAAAUCUUUGUGAUAGUCUGUAUUUUGUAUAGCAAGAAUAUGAAUCCUGAAGCUGAAUUACCUAAGGGGCCUCUACGGUGAAGUGAAAUAGAUGUUGGUGGAAGCAUUUAGUAAUGUAAAAGCUAUAAAUGUUAAUCUUCACCACUACUGCUACAUAAGCACCCAGUCAGCUUGAAGAGUCUCAAAUGGACCCUACCACUGAGAAAUCAAGAUGGCAGUCCACUAUGGGGAAUUGAGAAAAAUGGAUUAAUACAAGAGUGCUGUGAUAAUAUACAACCAAGACAGGGUUCUUUUAACAUGGAUUUCAUGAAAUGAAUGAAGAUAUAGGUUUUUUAACAGCACAAAUGGACAGUAAAUUUGUCUUUCUAGAGACUUUUUGUAUCAUUAGGAAUAUUUUUGACAUUUGGAGAAAAAGAUGGCACAUUAACAGAUGAUAGUUUGUAUGCCUGGAAUUUUUUCAGUUUGAUUUGUAUGAGUAUGACCUUGUGGAAUGUUAACUUUAAUAAAAUUUCUAACACUUUAAAA